CAAAUAUAGAAAUACAAUUGUUUAAAACUUUAGAAUUAAAAUCAAUUUGUAAAUACCGUUUUCUUAUGACACAAGAAAGUGGAAUUCAGUGUAGCCUUAGUUGUUUCUAGUGUCUCUUUUCACUUUCAUACGAGAAAAUUCGGAUCGGCUGAAAAGUA